GGAGGGUGCUAGCGUUGUUCGGAAUCACUGGGCGUAAAGGGCGCGUAGGCGGCUCUGGCAGUCGGUUAGUGAAAGCCCGGGGCUCAACCCCGGAGGUGCGGCCGAAACACCAGGGCUGGAGGCCGGAAGAGGAGGGUGGAAUACCCAGUGUAGAGGUGAAAUUCGUAGAUAUUGGGUGGAACACCGGUGGCGAAAGCGGCUCUCUGGUCCGGACCUGACGCUGAGGCGCGAAAGCGUGGGGAGCAAACAGGAUUAGAUACCCUGGUAGUCCACGCCCUAAACGAUGCGGGCUAGACGUCGGGGGGCUUGCCCCUCGGUGUCGCAGCGAACGCGUUAAGCCCGCCGCCUGGGGAGUACGGCCGCAAGGUUAAA
rnacentral:rRNA from 1 species